GUUUGACGUGUGUUAAUAUGUGCUGACUUGUUUCUCUGUUAUGUUUAAUCGGUGCUCUAGUCCUCGACGAUAUACUAGCUGCACCUAAUAUAACCCAAUAUGCACCAUUAAAGUUGGAAGAGUCCAAAU